UAGUUUGAGACAGGGAUCUGUCUGCUGUAGUUGGUGAACAUUCACUCGUCUAGCAGUUGUAACUUGUAGCAGCACAAAUACUUACAGGUAGUUAAAGAUGAAAAAACAGCUUUACAUGAAAACAACUACUGCAAUCAAUAGGUUUUCUAAUAAUAAAACAGAAAACAGGGCGUUACUUCACCCCAUGCAGUUUCUGGUGUGUCCAGCCCCGAGGGUAUUGUGUAGUCUCCCCCCAGGAAGCUCUGCUACAACAUUGUAGAACUGCUGGAUCGGUCCUGAGCAUGUGAUGGUCUUAGCGUCACUCAGAAUAAUUGAAUCCUCACAAGUGGACGACUGCCAAGCCGCCAUUAGACAGUAGCGAGAGCGAAGUGGACUUCACAUCUCGCCCGAAAAGAAGUAAGGUUACUGCGCAACGGAAGAAAAAGUUGAUAAAUGUCCCUGUUCCUUCAGCGGGCCGCUACGUGACCCUCCGCAGGGCAGCCCCCCCGCGCGCUGUCCGCGGUAAGGCCAGCUGCAGCUUCCUGAACUCCUCUGCUGAGUUUGUGGCGAACCAAGAGUCCGUCGCGCCCCGUCGGAUCCUCCUGCCGGCCACCGCUCUUCAGAGCUGCACCUCGGACGUGUCCGAGCCAGGCUCGGUGACUCUGAGCCUCGUCGCCGACCCACACCGACCGGAGGUUUCCCCGGCGGACGCCGCCAAGCGCGUUCUCGGACCCUCUCCCAGCAAGCCCCUCUUCUGCUCCACUCCGUCGGUCUCUCGGCGCCGAAGUCCCGCUGCCGCCACGGUCGCCGCCGCUGCCCCUCCCCAGGACACCUUGAGCCAUUUGAGUUUCCUCUGUACGUCCCAAGAGGACCCGCACUCGCCGGGGGACCCGUUCCACGCUCCCAAUGCCAAGAGCCGAGAUGAGGAGACGGGGUGUCCCUACGUGAUGGACGGCAUCCCCUUCCCAGCCGCCUCCUCCCACAUAUCCUCUGACACCGACAACGACAGCUGCUUCGUGUCUGCGCCGGCAUGGCCGGAAUGGCCGGAAUGGAUGUUGGAGGUUUUAAAGCAUAUCUGUCUGACCGAGCACUGCACUGUGGCGUUGGAGAGGUUGGAAAAGCUGAUCCCAGGAUACCUGGAUGGGUCAAGUUCAGGCCAUUUUCAGAAAACACCCCGGUCGACGGAGUCUGUCGACGACAGCCACUCGGUGGACCCAGCGCGGUCCGAGGGGAACGGAGCGACCCCUGACCCGACCCCGACGUUGCACGCCGGGGACGUUACUGAGCGACAGCCCGCCGUGUCCGCCCACGGCGAUCGGACGGCGGGCUUUUCACAGUCAGCCUCGAGCUCCGCCGACCGUCAGUCGGCACAGUUUACCGACGGUUUCGUGUCAGUGGAUAACACAACUUGUUCAGAGGACUCCGAGGACCUGUCUUGUGUCUGUAUAGAUCCUACCUACAAUGUUGAUGAUGAUGAGGACGACGAAGAGGAGGAGGUGGAUGUGGAUCGGGACAACGACGAGGACAGUGAUUGUAGUGUGGCGGGUGCAAGAGGCACUCACCCACUGGAGGACAGCCCUCCCGUCGAAGAGCGGGGCGCAGCCCUCAGGCCGAAGGAGUGCCAUGUUCCCCUCCGGAGAGUGUCUUUGUCUCCGCAGCCCGCGACUACGCCGCUCCAACUUGAAGCAUCCAGUCCGAGGAGUCACACUGUCGAACAAACCGAAAGCUCCUCUGCUCCUCAAACGGAUCAGGCAGGACGCAAGCGUGACAGGACGAGUACCGCUAGUCGGUGCAGGGCGGUCCCAUGCCCGACUCCUCCUCCCCCGGACCGGGGGGGCGGUGCAGCCGGGCCCCCGGAACCUGCAACCACGCCGCAGGAGGCGUGUCUCACAAAGCCCUGCGCCGUGCUGGUCAAGAGGACCCCAGACCCCGGCCCGGCCCCCCGGAGCGGCCCGGCCCCAGACGGACCUGAGCCCGACGAAGCCAAGCGGCCCGCACGCUCUCCCAGGAGAAGGAGCUCCUCGAAGGGCGUCCCGGAGGUGGCCGUCGCUCCACACGCCCGGGCAGCUGAGCCUCUCUCAAAGCCCGCCCAAAGGAAGGCGGCGUCCAAGGCUCCAAAAGUGAAGAGGAAGAGGUGCUUGUCCAAGGACCAGGGGUCCGGGACGGCGAGGAAGGCGUGCGUCAGCGGCCUGAGCGUCAGUCGCUGGAAGGACCAGAGCAACACCAGCAGCACCCUCCUGUUCCAGGCCCCCCGCGGGGCCCCGAAGGCCGGAGAAUGCAGCUUCACGGAGCCGCUCUCCCUGCAGCAUAAACCAUCCACGGUGUGGAGCCCGGGCCCCCUUCGUGGCAGCGGUGGACUGCUGUCCUCCCCAGUCCGGGCCCUCGGCCUCAACCUGUCCUCCGUGCUGGCACACUUCACGCCCAACACGCACACCUGGAGCCGACUGAAGGCGUCCCUCUCCGUGCACCGCAAGAAGAGAGUCGUGGUCAAUCUCGAAGACUCCUUCAGUAGGGACAUCAGCACGGAGCUCUUUGCCACGUCCACUCAAACCCCAUCCCGGGAAUAUAGCAGGGCCUCGCUGCUGCUCAGCCCCCCUCAG
ensembl:lncRNA